ensembl:lncRNA
ACAAUGACUUAUUGAUUAUUUUGAUUUAAAGUUACUUGUGGAGCAAAAAGGGCUUUCUGUGCCUACUGUCUCUUCUCCUGAAAGCAGGAAAUGAAUCUCCCAUGAGAAAGGUGUUCUCCCUGCAUCCUUAUCACCAGAGCUAGGGGAUUGAGGGCCGAGAAGCCUGCAUAAACAAACCUUACUAAUUUACUGUUUCAUGCUAAAUUCCCCACUAUUUACAUGCUCCACACCUAAGUUUCUUUGCUCUGUCGAUUUUCAACAAUUUUAUGUUUCUUGGUGUAAAAGAUAUAUAUACUGCCUGUUUUGUUCACUCUCUGAGCAACGUUUCUUUAUGGUCUCCAAAAGGUAUGCAUUAAACUGGAUUUUUCUUCUGUUAACCUGGUCUUAUGUCAGUUUUACUAUUAAUCUGGCCAUAGGAACCUAAGAAGGGAAGAAAAGGGAUUUUCCCUGUCCUGACACUAUGUCAUAUCUUAAGGCGCUCCAGAUAUCCAUGGGGAAACUCCAAAAGUUGGCUAUAGUUCCUGAUGACAUAAAAGAGGUAUCAGGAAAAGGAGAGACCAAAAGAUUUCUGGAGCCCUUGACCUGUGAAAUAGGAUCUCAACAAGAGGCAUUCUUUUCUGUAUGUACCAGACUGUCCUGUUCCCCCUCUAGAGAGGGACAUGCUAUCUAAGUUAGGGGUCCUAAUAUGCUGGAACAAGAUAGAGGUCCAAGCCCCUAAAAGUUGGGGAAUUGAGCUCAUGGCCUUAUUGGAAGAUACACCAGUGCCUGAUAGAGAAGAGGUUCCCCUAUCAUUGGCCCUGGUGAAACAGUACCCCUUGAAGCCAGAAGACAUAAGAGGACUCCCUCCCUUUAAUCAAUACACUUUUAGAACAGGGAUUGAUCAGGAGAUUCCCAUGGAACACACCCAUUUCAGCCAUUAAAAGGCUGGAAACAAGGGAAUAUAGAUUUGUUGAAGGCAUUAUGGCUGUCAAUGCUAUACAGUGCCAGAUUCAAAAGAUGCUUUUGGAUCCUCAACCCCUCCCACCACCAAGUGAUGUCUGGUCACCAUUCCUUGCCUUCAGCAGGGAAUUCUGAGGUUGGUGUGAUAUUGUGAUUUAUAGUAAAAAAAAAAAAAUACCCUCAUUUCAUUUCUGGCACAGAGCUCCUAAAACCCUUGUAAUUUCUGAUAUAAGAGCCAUGGGGCAUCUUUUGUUAUAACAAUUACUUUUGUCCUCAGUUCCUGAAAUAACUGCAGGUUAAUAAUGGUAACAUUGGUGUCUUUUGUUAUCCAGAAGAAGUCCCUGUCAACCACACCUGAACUUAUGUAAAUAAGAUGACUUUUGGAAAGCCCUUAAGGGUGGGGGCUGUUAGCCAGGGGAACCAAUUGUGUGAUUAGAGGGUUGGAAAUUUCAGCCCCAUGCCCCUCCUUAUACCUCUGAGGUGGGGAGAGGGGCUCAGGAUUGAGUUCAAUAUGGAGUUCAGGGAGCUUCUGAGUUGCAAACAUGGGAGACUCAGGGAGACUGGCACACUCAGAGAGAGCUUGGGAACUCCACAUCCCUCUCUCACAUAUCGUGCUCGAUGCAUCUCUUUGGUCUGGCUGUUAAGUAAAAUGUUUUCCUGAGUUCUGUGAGCUGCUCUAUAAAAAUAGUUUAAUGAAAUCCAAAGGAGGGUGUUCAUGGAAACCUCUGGUCUGUGGCAGUUUGGUCAGAAGGAUGGGUGACAACCUGGACUUGCAAUCGGCAUCUAAAAUGGAAGGCAAGGGGUAAUCUUGUAGGAUCUGAUGCUAUCUCUAGGUAGAUAGUGUCACAAAUAGUGACAAAUACUGUUAAAUACUUAGGUUUUGAACUGUCAGAAGCCCAGAGAAUCCUGCUCCCAGACAGGAGAGAAGCAAUCACUUGAGUUGGAACUCCUACUACCCAUCAAUAAUUGUGGGGAUGUUUUUUAGGAAUGUCAGGCUUCUGUCAAAUUUGGAUAGUCAGCUUUAGAUUAAUGUUGAAAUCUCUAUUUGAGGACUUAAUGGGAGGAGACCUCGAACCUUUGAUGUGGACAUGAGAGUGCCGGAAUUUGUUUGUCAGGGAAGUGGGAGAAUUCCCCCUGACUUUUACUUAGGGUUCUUACGGCUGGUAAAAUAACUAAAAAGGAAGGUGAGCAGGAGAAAAAUCAAACAAAGUUUAAUAGCAUGUAUACAUGGGAGAAACCCAGGAGAAACUGAGUAACUCAGCCAACUGAGUUAAAGAGGCUGAGGCUGCCUGUUUAAAUAUCUUAAGCUACAGAUAAGGACGAUAUUUGGGGUAGUGAUUUGGGGCUUCAAAGGAGAGGAAGACAACUCACAUGGAAAUGGAAAAGUAAAUGGUAAAUAAGACUUUGAUAACAGUGGGCCUAGCAAGGAUCUUUCCAGUCUACCAAAACCCAGAGCUAACUAUGGUGAUGGACAGGCCUUCAUUUUAAAUUUCUUUUAGGCAGUUGGGGGGAAAUGUCGAAUGUUCUUCCUGAGUUUGAGCCUUUAUUGUCUUCAGAUUGAAAUAAUCCUCAUACCAGAAUGACACAUCUUGGGACGGCCUGCCCUGAACCCCAUCAAGUACAAUCAAGUUAAAGAAAAAUUAUUUAACUGCCCCAGCCUUGGGACUCCCAGAUUUGAGAAAGCCCUUUGAUUUCUUUGUAAAGGAAAAACAGGGCCUCUGUCUGUGACUCCUGACUCAGAACCUUGGACUCACCAGGAGGCCUGUGGCCUAUUUUACUAAGCAGUCAGAUCAGAUGGUCAAAGGAUAGCUGUCUUGCCUCUGAGCCAUUGCCACCAUCUGUAACAUAGUACAAGAAGCUGAAAAAUUCACAUUGGCACAGGCCACAAUGGCGCACACUCCCCAUUGUGUCCUCCCUCUAUGAGUCCUCUAAGAAAAGAACAGAAUGGAGGAUCUUGGCUAACCUCAGGAUCAGCCUACUUUAUGAGACAACCCAGAAGUAAAGUUAAAUGCUAUUUCUACCUUAAAACCUGCAACACUUCUACCUACUGAGUCAACAAGACCCCUUUCAUGAUGAGUGACUUCAGAUCAUUGAACAGGUAUUCUAGAGUUGACCUGAUUUGACUGUCCAACUGUUGGAGCAGUUGGACUUGGGACUGUUCACUGAUGGAAGCAGCUUCUUGGAUGAGGGCAACAUCAAGCAGGGCAUGUAGUUGUCACCCUUCAGGACACCAUGGAAGCAAAGGCUUUGCCUCCAGGUGUUUCAUCUCAGGAGGCUGAGCUAAUAGCCCUAAAUAAAGUUCUUCAAAUAGGUAAAGACACAAGAGCACAGACUCAAAAUAUGCCUUUUUAGUGGUCCAUGCCCCUGGGGCCAUAUGGAAAGAGAGGGGUCUCUUGACUGUUGGAAAGAGGGACAUAAAAUAUUCCCAGGAAAUAUUGACCUUAUUAGAGGCUAUUAAUGACCCAUGGCAGUAGCCAUCAUGUACUGCCCUCCACAUCAGAAAGGGGACACUUUGGAAGCCCGACGUAAUCAACUGGCUGAUCAGGCAGUGAAGACUGCUGUUAGCACUAUGAGUUUCAGGGCACUCUUGGGUCCCUUAGUUCCCCAAAUUGACAUUGCUAAAUUCCAGCAUAGCUACACACAGAAAGAUUUAGAGAGAGCCAGAGCAUGGAGAUUUGACUCCUCAUCUGUGGAGUAUCCAGGAUAUAAAUGUAAGUCAGAAAGACUCAUCUUGGUAUCUGAAGCCCUUCUGGGAGAAAGUGUGAAUCAAAUGCAUCAGAGCACUCACUAUGGAAAGGAGGCCACCUUGCAGUGGAUCAAGGAGGUGGUUUGUUCUAACUUGCAAAGAAACAUUCAGAAAGUUACUAAAAAUGUGUGAUCUGUGCCAAAAACAAUCCCAGGACAGGGCUGCUCUCCUUGAAUAAUGGGGUUCAACAUUCACGAGUUUUCCCCUGUGAGGACUUGCAACUGGAAUUUAACAUGAUGCCUUGAGCCUCUAGGAAAGCCAAGUAACUAGAGUACUCAUAGACACCUUCACAGUGUGGGUUGAAGUAUUCCCGUCCAAAACAGGGAGGGACACCAAAGUGACCAAGGAUUCCCAAAAGGAGAUCAUUCCAGGGACAAAAUUCCACUGUCAAUCCAGAACGACAACAGCACUGAAUUUAUCUAAAUCAUUCUGGCAUGGACCACUGUGCUUAAGGGGAAGAUGGAGGCAUUUGGAGUGAGCAGGGUUGGAAAGACGCAAAUGUGGCAGAAGGAGAAGUUCUACAGGGGUGAGAUGAGGGAUGGAAAGAAAUGGCAUUACAGCCGCCUUUGUAGGAGACGUUCCCGGUCAGCUGUAAGAGCAUGGUGCAAAGCGAGUUCUUUCUCAGCUUGACAAAGAGCUGCAAGCAAGAUGGUUUGUGGCCUGUCUCCCUUUCAGGAAUCAAGGCAGUGCUUUGUGCCUUCCAUCUCUAGAGCACUGUCCGAGACAGCUGAGAGUAGAAGCUCUAAUUCAGCAAGAUCAGGGCUAGAAAGAAACUGCGUCUCACAGGCCUUUGUAAGAGAUGUUCCCAGGAGGCUGUAAGAGCACUGUGGAGAUUGAGUUGUUUAUCAGCUUACCAAAGAGCUGGAAGCAAGACCAUUUGUGGCUUGUCUUCCUUUGAGGGACUGAGUCAGUGCUUUGUGACUUCCACCUCUAGGGCAAUGGAGGACAUGGCUUUGAGCAGAAGUUCUACGGUGGUGAGAUCAGGGCUGGAAAUAAACUGCGUUUCAGGCCUUUGUAUGACGGGUUCCCGGUAGGCUGUAAGAGCACUGUGGAAAGCGAGUUCUUUCUCAGCUUGCCAAAGAGCUGGAAGCAAGACGGCUUGUGGCCUGUCUCCCCUUGAGGAAACAAGGCAGGACUUUGUGCCUUGCAUGCCUACAGCAAUGUAGGACACGGCAAAGCAGAGGUUCUACUUCAGCGACAUCAGGUCUGGAAAGAAACUGCGUUCCACAGGCCUUUGUAAGAGAUGUUACCGGGAGGCUGUAAGAGCCCUGUGGAGAGCGAGUUGUUUCUUACCUUCCGAAAGACCUGGAAGAAAGACCAUUUGAGGCUUGUUUCCCUUUGAGGCACUGAUUCAGUUCUUUGUUCCUUCCACCUGUAGGGCAAUGGAGGACAUGGCUCAGAGCAGAAGUUCUAAGAAUGCUAGAUCAGGGCUGGAAACUAACUGCCUUUCAGGCCUUUGUAUGACAGGUGCCCUGCAGGCAUUAAGAGCACUGUGGAAAGCAAUUUCUUUCUCGGCUUGCCAAAGAGAUGGAAGCAAGAUGGUUUGUGGCCGCUCUCCCUUUGGAGAAAAGAGGCAGUUCCUUUUCCCUUCCACCCCUAGGAAAGUGCAUGACACGGCAGAGGAGAAGUUCUAAUUCAGUGAGAUCAGGGCUGGAAAGAAACUGCAUUUCACAGACAUUUGUAAGACAUGUUCCCAGGACGCUGUAAGAGCACUGUGGAGAGCGAGCUGUUUCUUAGCUUCCCAAAGAGCUGGAAGUAAGAUCAUUUGUGGCUUGUCUCCUUUUGAGGCACUCACUCAGUGGUUUGUGCCUUGCACCUCUAGAGCAAUGGAGGACAUGGCUUAGAGCAGAAGCUCUAAGGCGACGAGAUCAGGGCUGGAAACAAACUGCAUUUCAGGCCUUUAUAUGACAGGUUCCUGGUAGUCUGUAAGAGCACUGAGGAAAGCGAGUUCUUUCUCGGCUUGCCAAAGAGCUGGAAGCAAGACGGUUUGGGUCCUGUCUCCCCUUGAGGAGACAAGGCAGGACUUUGUCCCUUGCAGCUCUAGGGCCAUGUAGGACACAGCAGAGCAGAAGUUCUACUACAGCGAGAUCAGGCCUGGGAAGAAACUGCAUUUCACAGCCCUUUGUAAGAGAUGUUCCCGGUAGGCUGUAAGAGCACUGCGGAGAGCGAGUUGUUUCUUAGCUGCCCAGAGAGCUGGAACCGGCACGCUGAGGGACUUGUCCCCCAUUGUGGAAACAAGGCAGGACUUUCUGCCUUGCAGCUCUUGGGCCAUGUAGGACACGGCAGAGCAGAAGUUCUACUUCAGUGAGAUCAGGCCUGGGAAGAAAUUGCGUCUCACAGGCCUUUGUAAGACACGUUCCCGGUAGGCUUUAAGAGCCCUGUGCAGAGCGAGUUGUUUCUUAGACUGCAAAAGAGCUGGAAGCCGGACGCUGUGGGGCCUGUCUGCCCUUGAAGACACAGCAGAGGACUUUGUCCCUUUCAGCUCUGGCCCAUGUAGGACACGGCAGAGCAGAAGUUCUACUUCAGUGAGAUCAGGCCUGGGAAGAAAUUGCGUCUCACAGGCCUUUGUAAGACACGUUCCCGGUAGGCUUUAAGAGCCCUGUGCAGAGCGAGUUGUUUGUUAGACUGCAAAAGAGCUGGAAGCCGGACGCUGUGGGGCCUGUCUGCCCUUGAGGACACAAGACAGGACUUUGUCCCUUUUAGCUCUAGGCCCAUGUAGGACACGGCAGAGCAGAAGUUCUACUUCACCGAGAUCAGGCCUGGGAAGAAACUGCGUUUCACAGGCCUUUGUAGGACAUGUUCCCAGUAGGCUGUAAAACACCAGUGCAGAGCGAGCAGUUUCUUAGCUGCCCAAAGAGAUGGAAGCCUGACGCUGUGGGGCCUCUCUGCCCUUGAGGACACAAGGCUGGACUUUCUCCCUUUGAGGUCUAGGGGCAUGUAGGACACGGCAGAGCUGAACUUCUACUUCAGCGAGAUCAGGCCUGGUAAGAAACUGCGUUUCACAGGCCUUUGUAAGACAUGUUCCUGGUAGGCUUGUAUGCCCGAUGCAGAGCGAGUUGUUUCUUAGUUGCCCAAAAGCUGGAAGGGGGACACUGUGCUGCCGGCCUGCCCCUGAGGAGAGAAGGCAGGAGUUUGUCCCUUUCAGCUCUAGGCCCAUGUAGGACAUGGCAGAGCAGAAGUUCUAAUUCAGCGAGAUCUAGCCUGGGAAGAGACUGCGUUUCAGAUGCCUUUGUAAGACAUGUUCCCUGUAGGCUGUAAAACACCAGUGCAGAGCCAGCUGUUUCUCAGCUGCCCAAAGAGCUGGAAGCCGGACACUCUGCUGCCCGUCUGCCCUUGAGGAGACAAGGCAGGACUUUGUCCCUUGCAGCUCUAUGGCCAUGUAGGACACGGCAGAUCAGAAGUCCUACAUCAGGGAGAGCAGGCCUGGGAAGAAACAGCAUAACACAGGCCUUUGUACGAUAUGUUCCUGGUAGGCUUGUAGGAGCCCUGUGCAGAGCGAGUUGUUUCUUAGCAGCCCAAAGAGCUGUAAUCUGGACGCUGAGGGACUUGUCUCCCCUUGUGGAAACAAAGCAGGACUUUGUGAAUUGCGGCUCUAGGGUCAUGAAGGACACGGCAGAGCAGAAGUCCUACAUCAGGGAGAGCAGGCCUGGGAAGAAACAGCAUAACCCAGGUCUUUGUACGAUAUGUUCCCGGUUGGCUUGUAGGAGCCCUGUGCAGAGCGAGCUGUUUCUUAGCAGCCCAAAGAGCUGGAAUCCGGACGCUGAGGGACUUGUCUCCCCUUGUGGAAACAAAGCAGGACUUUGUGAAUUGCGGCUCUAGGGUCAUAAAGGACACGGCAGAGCAGAAGUUCUACUUCAGCGAGAUCAGGCCUGGGAAGCAACUGCGUUUCACAGGCCUUUGUAAGACAUGUUCCCGGUAGGCUUUAAGAGCCCUGUGCAGAGCGAGUUGUUUCUUAGCCUGCCAAAGAGCUGGAAGCCGGACGCUGUGGGACCAGUCUGCCCUUGAGGACACAAGACAGGACUUUGUCCCUUUCUGCUCUAGGCACAUGCAGGACACGGCAGAGCAGAAGUUCUACUUCAGCGAGAUCAGGUCUGGGAAGAAACUGCGUUUCAGGGGCCUUUGUAAGCCAUGUUCCCGGUAGGCUGUAAAACACCAGUGCAGAGCGAGCUGAUUCUUAGCUGCUCAAAGAGCUGGAAGCCGGACGGUGUGGGACCUGUCUGCCCUUGAAGACACAACAGAGGACUUUGUCCCUUUCAGCUCCAGGCCCAUCUAGGACACGGCAGAGCAGAAGUUCUACCUCACUGAGAUCAGGCCUGGGAAGAAACUGCGUUUCACUUGCCUUUGUAGGACAUCUUCCCGGUAGGCUGUAAAGCACCAGUGCAGAGCGAGCUGUUUCUUAGCUGCACAAAGAGAUGGAAGCUGGACGCUGUGGGGCCUGUCUGCUCUUGAAGACACAACACAGGACUUUGUCCCUUACAGCUCUAGGCCCAUGUAGGACACGGCAGAGCAGAAGUUCUACUUCAGCGAGAUCAGGCCUGUGAAGAAACUGCGUUUCACAGGCCUUUGGAACAUGUUCCCGGUAGGCUGUAAAACACCACUGCAGAGCGAUUUGUUUCUUAGCUGCCCAAAGAGCUGGAAGCCGGACACUCUGCUGCCCGUCUGCCCUUGAGAAGACAAGGCAGGACUUUGUCCCUUGCAGCUCUAUGGCCAUGUAAGACACGGCAGAGCAGAACUCCUACAUCAGGGAGAGCAGGCCUGGGAAGAUACAUCAUAACACAGGGCUUUGUACGAUAUGUUCCCGGUAGGCUUGUAGGAGCCCUGUGCAGAGCGAGUUGUUUCUUAGCAGCCCAAAGACAUGGAAUCUGGACGCUGAGGGACUUGUCUCCCCUUGUGGAAACAAAGCCGGACUUUGCGAAUUGCAGAUCUAGGGUCAUGUAGGACACGGCAGAGCAGAAGUUCUACUUCAGCGAGAUCAGGCCUGGGAAGAAACUGCGUUUCACAGGCCUUUGUAAGACAUGUUCCCGGUAGGCUGUAAAACACCAGUGCAGAGCGAGCUGUUUCUCAGCUGCCCAAAGAGCUGGAAGCCGGACGCUGUGGGGCCUGUCUGCCCUUGAAGACACAGCAGAGGACUUUGUCACUUUCAGCUCUAGGCCCAUGUAGGACACGGCAGAGCAGGAGUUCUACUUCAGCGAGAGCCUGCCUGAGAUGAAACUGCGUUUCAUAGGCCUUUGUAAGACAUGCUCCCGGUAGGCUUGUGAAAGCCCUGUGCAGAGUGAGCUGUUUCUUAGCUUCCCAAAGAGCUGGAAGCCGGACGCUGUGGGACCAGUCUGCCCUUGAGGACACAGACAGGACUUUGUCCCAUCAGCUCUAGGCCCAUGCAGGACACGGCAGAGCAGAAGUUCUACUUCAGCGAGAUCAGGUCUGGGAAGAAACUGCGUUUCACAGGCCUUUGUAAGACAUGUUCCCAGUAGGCUUUAAGAGCCCUGUGCAGAGCGAGUUGUUUCUUAGCCUGCCAAAGAGCUGGAAACCGGACGCUGUGGGACCAGUCUGGCCUUGAGGACACAAGACAGGACUUUGUCCCUUUCAGCUCUAGGCCCAUGCAGGACACGGCAGAGCAGAAGUUCUACCUCACUGAGAUCAGGCCUGGGAAGAAACUGCGUUUCACUUGCCUUUGUAGGACAUCUUCCCGGUAGGCUGUAAAGCACCAGUGCAGAGCGAGCUGUUUCUUAGCUGCACAAAGAGAUGGAAGCUGGACGCUGUGGGGCCUGUCUGCUCUUGAAGACACAACACAGGACUUUGUCCCUUUCAGCUCUAGGCCCACGUAGGACACGGCAGAGCAGAAGUUCUACUUCACCGAGAUCAGGCUGGGAAGAAACUGCGUUUCAGAUGCCUUUGUAAGACAUGUUCCAGGUAGGCUUGUAGGAGCCCGAUGCAGAGCGAGUUGUUUCUUUGUUGCCCAAAAGCUGGAAGGCGGACACUGUGCUGCCGCCCUGCCCCUGAGGAGAGAAGGCGGGAGUUUGUCCCUUUCAGCUCUAGGCCCAUGUAGGACACGGCAGAGGAGAAGUUCUAAUUGAACGAGGUCUGGACUGGGCACAAACUGCGUUUCAGAUGCCUUUGUAAGACAUGUUCCCUGUAGGCUGUAAAACACCAGUGCAGAGCGAGCUGUUUCUCAGCUUCCCAAAGAGCUGGAAGCUGGACGCUGUGGGACCUGUCUGCCCUUGAGGACAAAAGGCAGAACUUUGUCCCUUUCAGCUCUAGGCCCAUGUAGAACACGGCAGAGCAGAAGUUCUACUUCAGCGAGAUCAGGCCUGGGAAGAAACUGCGUUUCACAGGCCUUUGUAAGACAUGUUCCCGGUAGGCUUUAAGAGCGCUGUGCAGAACGAGUUGUUUCUUAGCUGCCCAAAGAGCUGGAAGCUGGACGCUGAGGGACUUGCCUCUCCUUGUGGAAACAAGGCAGGAUUUUGUGAAUUGCAGCUCUAGGGUCAAAUAGGACACGGCAGAGCAGAAGUUCUACUUCAGCGAGAUCAGGCCUGGGAAGAAACUGCGUCUCACAGGCCUUUGUAAGACAUGUUCCCGGUAGGCUUUAAGAGCCCUGUGCAGAGCGAGUUGUUUCUUAGACUGCAAAAGAGCUGGAAGCCUGACGCUUUGGGGCCUCUCUGCCCUUGAGGACACAAGACAGGACUUUGUCCCUUUUAGCUCUAGGCCCAUGUAGGACACGGCAGAGCAGAAGUUCUACUUCAGCGAGAGCAGGCCUGAGAUGAAACUGCGUUUCAUAGGCCUUUGUAAGACAUGCUCCCGGUAGGCUUGUAAAAGCCCUGUGCAGAGUGAGCUGUUUCUUAGCUUCCCAAAGAGCUGGAAGCCGGACGCUGUGGGACCUGUCUGCCCUUGAGGACAAAAGGCAGAACUUUGUCCCUUUCAGCUCUAGGCCCAUGUAGAACACGGCAGAGCAGAAGUUCUACUUCAGCGAGAUCAGGCCUGGGAAGAAACUGCGUCUCACAGGCCUUUGUAAGACAUGUUCCCGGUAGGCUUUAAGAGCCCUGUGCAGAGCGAGUUGUUUCUUAGACUGCCAAAGAGCUGGAAGCCGGACGCUGUGGGACCAGUCUGCCCUUGAGGACACAAGACAGGACUUUGUCCCUUUCAGCUCUAGGCCCAUGCAGGACACGGCAGAGCAGAAGUUCUACUUCAGCGAGAUCAGGUCUGGGAAGAAACUGCGUUUCACAGGCCUUUGUAAGACAUGUUCCCGGUAGGCUGUAAAACACCAGUGCAGAGCAAGCUGUUUCUCAGCUGCCCAAAGAGCUGGAAGCCGGACGCUGUGGGGCCUGUCUGCCCUUGAGGACACAAGACAGGACUUUGUCCCUUUUAGCUCUAGGCCCAUGUAGGACACGGCAGAGCAGAAGUUCUACUUCAGCGAGAGCAGGCCUGAGAUGAAACUGCGUUUCAUAGGCCUUUGUAAGACAUGCUCCCGGUAGGCUUGUAAAAGCCCUGUGCAGAGUGAGCUGUUUCUUAGCUUC